rnacentral:rRNA from 1 species
UACGGAGGGUGCAAGCGUUGUCCGGAUUUAUUGGGUUUAAAGGGUGCGUAGGCGGUCUUUUAAGUCAGCGGUGAAAUCCUCCAGCUUAACUGGAGAACUGCCAUUGAUACUGGAAGACUUGAGUACAGACGAGGUAGGCGGAAUUGACAGUGUAGCGGUGAAAUGCAUAGAUAUUGUCAAGAACACCGAUUGCGAAGGCAGCUUACUAGACUGUAACUGACGCUGAGGCACGAAAGUGUGGGGAUCAAACAGG